UCCGUAGGGACCAAGCGUUGUUCGGAUUUACUGGGCGUAAAGGGCGCGUAGGCGGCCACCGCAAGUCAGUUGUGAAAUCUCUGGGCUUAACCCAGAACGGUCAGCUGAUACUGCGGGGCUAGAGUGCAGAAGGGGCAACUGGAAUUCUCGGUGUAGCGGUGAAAUGCGUAGAUAUCGAGAGGAACACCUGCGGCGAAGGCGGGUUGCUGGGCUGACACUGACGCUGACAGCGCGAAAGCUAGGGGAGCGAACGGG
rnacentral:rRNA from 1 species